rnacentral:ncRNA from 2 species
GGUCUGUGAUGCCCUUAGA